AGGUCGCUUAAAUAAAGUGGAGUUGCAGUCAGGUGAUGUGGUCGAUUCACAGGCCUUCA
rnacentral:tRNA from 1 species